UCGGAUAGAUUGGCAACGGUAAUCUGUGACUGUACCCUUCUCUCUCUCUCUCUCUCUCUCUCUCUCUCAAUGGCUGUGGCUACCCUUGCUCUUCACAGUCAAUUGCUCAGCUUCUCAAACUCAAAAACAAGACCAAGACAAAAACUAUGGCUUCCACACAAACCAAACCUUUUGAAUUCUCAAACAAGAACCCAUUUUUAUUCCAUUUCAUGCUCUUCUUCUUCUACUUCAGAGUCCCCAGAAGCCAAUGUAGAGACUGCUGAGUUCUAUGUCAACUCGGGUCUCCAGCUCUUCUCCAAAGGACGGGUAAAAGAUGCUCUCGUCCAGUUUGAAACAGCACUUAAUUUGGAUCCUAACCCACUGGAGGCCCAAGCUGCACUUUAUAACAAAGCUUGCUGUCAUGCCUACCGAGGGGAAGGAAAAAAAGCUGCUGAUUGUCUACGAACUGCAUUGAGAGAGUAUAACCUCAAAUUUGGUACAAUUCUGAAUGAUCCUGACUUGGCCUCCUUCAGAGCUUUGCCUGAAUUCAAGGAAUUGCAAGAAGAGGCUAGGCUGGGUGGGGAAGAUAUAGGCUACGGUUUUCGAAGAGAUCUCAAACUCAUUAGUGAAGUCCAAGCACCAUUCCGGGGGGUUAGGAGAUUCUUUUAUGUGGCAUUUUCUGCAGCCGCCGGAAUAUCAUUGUUCUUUACUAUUCCCAGGAUAUUUCGUGCAAUUAAAGGUGGUGAUGAUGCCCCUGAUUUAUGGGAAACUGCUGGAAAUGCUGCCAUUAAUAUCGGAGGUAUCAUUGUUCUUGUGGCAUUGUUUCUCUGGGACAACAAGAAAGAGGAGGAACAACUUGCACAGAUAUCCCGAGAUGAAACUCUAUCAAGGUUGCCUUUGCGCCUUUCCACUAAUCGAGUUGUUGAACUCGUGCAGCUGCGAGACACUGUUAGGCCAGUUAUUUUAGCAGGGGAAAAAGAGGCUGUUUCUUUGGCUAUCCAGACGGCAGAGAGGUUCCGGACUGAUCUCCUUAGACGAGGUGUUCUUUUAGUCCCUGUAAUCUGGGGUCAAGGUACGGCACCACAAGUUGAGAAGAAAGGUUUUGGUGUCCCUCGAAAGGCAGCCGAUGCUCUUCCUUCUAUUGGGGAAGAUUUCGAGAAACGGGCUCAGUCUAUAACUACAAGAUCAAAGUUGAAAGCUGAAAUUCGAUUUAAGGCUGAGGUUGUAUCGCCUGCAGAAUGGGAAAGUCUAGGUGGAUAAGGGAUCAGCAGAAGUCUGAAGGAGUUACUCCUGGUGAGGACGUCUACAUUAUACUGCGCCUAGAUGGUCGGGUCCGAAGAUCAGGGAAGGGCAUGCCUGACUGGCAACAAAUAUUGCAGGAGCUGCCACCAUUGGAGGCAAUACUAAGCAAGCUAGAAAGAUAGGAAGAGUUUCUUGCAUCAUCUGAGUCUUACAUAACAGAAUUUUGAGCCAAGACACAUGCUAUUUUUUACUCUAUAAUUGUUAUGAUAAUUUCCAUCCCAUCCUUGAUGAUACCACAUGAGACCAUUUCUAUUGUAUAAUUUUCUACACCCAGGAACCUAUAGUUGGUCCUUUGACACUGCUCAAAAAUCUUUUACAUUCUUUCAUUUGUCCUAAACAUUAAUGUAUUAUAACUUUUCAUAGCAAUUUUUGAAAAAGGAGAAGUAGAUAUUGGUAUUUGGAAGUGA